GACAGAUGCUGCUGAGCACGUACUCAGUGAUCAGAUGGGUCAGAGCCUCAGUGCCUCUUUUUUAGAAAAAUUAUUUCUUUUUUUAAAGAUAGGACUUCCCUCUUCCUGGUGGCCCCUUUUAGUCGAUACUCUUUUAAGCCUGCUUUUCCAGAGGAAAGCUAGGAAGGAUGGCCUAUAUAGGUCCCAGUCUGGGCAUAUCUGGAAGAAUGACCUGUUUUAGGUUUGAGUCUAGCGUAUCUGGGGACAACUUUGAACCUCCACUCAGAGUCCGAGAGCCACCUGUAGAGGCUCCCCAAAUGUCUGCUGGGAUUUUCCCCUCUGCUCGGGGAUGAUGAAGAGCAGAACCUCAUCCUGCCACGACCUCUGGGGUCCUCCUUCCUGGAGGGCAGUGCCUUGGUGGCCAGUGUGUGUAGGAGGCUGGGCUGGCACCUUCGGGCUAUGCUCUGCAGCGGGGGCUCAUGACAUGGGGCAUUCUGUGCUCUGCACCGGGACUGUUGACGUGGGGCAUCCUCGUGCACUGUGGACCACAAGCGGUGCACAUGAGCCAGACAGCUCCUGGAAUUCGGAGCCUGAUUCUACCUCAGGCCAUCCACCUGUCUGUGGCACUUCUGGGGGAUUGUGGGGACCAUAUGAGUCUGUGUCCCCACCCUCACUGGCUGGACACCUGUGCCAGGCUGGAGCUUUAUGUGUCACCAUGCCCUGUUCUGAGUUGUGUGAAUAUUUAUUUUCAUUACCUACUCUCAUAAGCUUUCCUUUUUUAAAAAAAAAUUCAGAGACAGACUUUGAAGUCCCCGGCCCCACCCUUUGUGGACCUAAUGGUAUUGCAGAAAUUAUGGCUUCAAUUAUGUGUAAUAACUGGGGCUACUUUAAAAGUCAUGUAAAGGAACAAGGUGGAGUGGCCAUUUCAAGCAGUACAUCAUGCUGGAUUUUCAGUGAACUUAUCAGGCUUUCAACACAUUUUCUCUUUUUAUUUACUUUGCAGAAUAUAAUGGGUGCUCAGAAGCUGUUGGAAUUUAGUAACAGAAAAUCAUCCUUAAGGAGCUAUUUAAGCAAGGGGACAGUUGGAGUAAAUGGCCCGGAGGCGGAAUCAGAGCCUGUCUUGGAACGGAUGACAUCUUCACGGACACCUCUUUCCGCCACUCCAGUGCUCCUGUGA
ensembl:lncRNA